UACGUAGGGUGCAAGCGUUGUCCGGAAUUAUUGGGCGUCAAGAGCUCGUAGGCGGUCUGUCGCGUCGGCUGUGAAAACUCGGGGCUCAACUCCGAGCCUGCAGUCGAUACGGGCAGACUAGAGUGCUGUAGGGGAGACUGGAAUUCCUGGUGUAGCGGUGAAAUGCGCAGAUAUCAGGAGGAACACCGGUGGCGAAGGCGGGUCUCUGGGCAGUAACUGACGCUGAGGAGCGAAAGCGUGGGGAGCGAACAGG
rnacentral:rRNA from 1 species